rnacentral:rRNA from 1 species
GACAGAGGGGGCAAGCGUUGCUCGGAAUCACUGGGCGUAAAGGGUGCGUAGGUGGCGCCGUAAGUCAGGUGUGAAAUCUCGGGGCUUAACCCCGAAACUGCAUUUGAUACUGCGGUGCUUGAGGACUGGAGAGGAGACUGGAAUUCCUGGUGUAGCGGUGAAAUGCGCAGAGUAUCGAGGAGGGAACACCGGUGGCGAAGGCGGGUCUCUGGGCC